UGUGUUCAAGAGUCGGAAUGCCAAACCUGAAGGAAUCCUAGCACCUACCUUAUCUGUGUGAAAUUCUGAAUAUAAGAAGAAUGCCCACCCAGGAAAUGUAUAUAUCAGAUGGAAACUGAAGAUGAAAUAGAACACAGAUAACUGAAAAUACAGAACUCUUUCACUACAAAGUGCUAUAUCUUAUGAGUCCAUUCAAAUACUAAAG
rnacentral:lncRNA from 1 species